rnacentral:lncRNA from 1 species
UAUCUAAUGGAAUAUGUGAAUAAGUUGUGAGUGUCCUAGUCUAAGAUCAUUAGCACAACCUGUUUCCCUGAUAUCGAUUAAGAGUAUACUAAUCUUGCAUGAGCCUAACUACAUCACACGAUCAUAAUAAUUAGCAUGGUUGGUUUAUCCUUUAUCCUUUUUGGUUUGUACUUCAUUCUUUUUAAUAAAUGGUUUUGUGCAUCACUUGAUGUAGAGGCCAAGGAUAAUCCUCUUAACACUCUAUCAGAAAACAAUCAUAUCCAUUCUAUACUCUCAGUAAUAGGAGCUUAAGUACAUUUUUCAAUUCGGAUAUGUUCAUGUGAUCAUGUUCAAUCCACAAUCAAGAUCAUAUGAUAGAAGUUUGCAUUCUAAGCGAAUUAAUUCCUUGAAUGAUGUAUGUUUUAGUGUAACUAACAAGUACAAGUACAAACGAUUUGUUGAACAUGAUUUGGCCUUUGUUAUAGCCUUCUAUGGUGCCUAGGUCUGCACAUGAAACAUGGUACUACAAUAAAUCCAAUGAUUUGAUCAAUGUGCAUGUGUAUGCUAGACGACCUGUCAUGGAACAAGUGAAAGACCUUGAAUCUUAUUGCAAAAAAACAUGAAUGUUUCCCGAUACUAUAUAAGCAAGUGUUCUCUGUGUCCAUGAACACCAAGCAAUAUCAUGAACGAAACACUCUUUAAUUAGACAUUGAACCUGACAUUGACUCAGUUGAAGCUGUUCCUUCAUUACUUUUGAAGAAUGUGGAAAGACUAAUUAACCACAUAGACAUAUGGAAGUAAUUAAUUUGAUAGAUACUCUUGUUACUGGCCACCUAGCAUUUGAUAUGGUUGUCCAAAAUACUAUGUACUCCUAGUAGUAGCAUCAGUUCAAGAGGCCAUGGCUUUAUGAUGAGAACAUUGUCAAGGUGCAUCGGGCUCCACCUACUUGUUGGACAGUCACAUUACAUAAUAUCCAAUAUCAACUUGUCAUUUUUUCCAUUUUGGGUUGACACCUUAUAUUGAGUUUCUUCUGUUGAUUGGAAUAUCGUAAGGCAAGGACAGUAUGGCCGGCAAGGCUAAGCCUGAAAUCCCAACGACUGGGAUGUCGUUUGUUGUCUCCAACUUUUCGCUGGAACCUUGGCCCGAAAUCCCAAAUACCUACGAUGGAAACAUAUGUGUAAUAAUGUACUUUUGUAUUUAAAAAUGAUUGAAUUAAUACAUUGAAGUCAGAAAAUGCUAUUGUUUACAUGUUCCAGGCGGAGCUGGGCUCUUACAGGGCAUUUGAAUGUCAUACUUUGCAAAGCAAUAUCCCCAAACCAGCUCGAGAUUGGCUUUGGAAAUCCUAGAUUCACUGCACAACAUCAUACAAGGCUAAUUGUACAUGCUCUCCAGUUUGUGAUAAUUAAGAUAUUG